AUUGAACGCUGGCGGCAUGCCUUACACAUGCAAGUCGAACGGCAGCGGGCCUUCGGUGCCGGCGAGUGGCGAACGGUGAGUAAUGCAUCGGAACGUGCCAUUGAGUGGGGGAUAACGUAGCGAAAGUUACGCUAAUACCGCAUAUUCUGUGAGCAGGAAAGCAGGGGACCGCAAGGCCUUGCGCUCUUUGAGCGGCCGAUGUCAGAUUAGCUAGUUGGUGAGGUAAAGGCUUACCAAGGCGACGAUCUGUAGCGGGUCUGAGAGGAUGAUCCGCCACACUGGAACUGAGACACGGUCCAGACUCCUACGGGAGGCAGCAGUGGGGAAUUUUGGACAAUGGGCGCAAGCCUGAUCCAGCCAUGCCGCGUGAGUGAAGAAGGCCUUCGGUU
rnacentral:rRNA from 1 species